rnacentral:lncRNA from 15 species
AUGAAACACCGCUCUGGUUCAUGGUAUUUAAAUCUUCUGAAUUUCACUCAAUUGAACUCAUGCUUACAUUUGAUUCUAUUUUUCUGCCAUAAUCAAGCUGUCACACUGGUUAUAUAUUGUAGGUUAAACACAGAUGUUCACUUAUGUGUCAACAUAUCCCAGUUUGGUGUAGGCAUAGGUGUGAUCAUCAGGACACCAACCUUCAGCCUGACGUUGAUGACUGUGUACAUGUGCUGUGUUGUCGUGUCUCAGUGUUGCGACAGCUUUAAGCGUCUUCCCGGAGCGGGGGCAGGGAUCACCUGUUAGUGUCCAAAUGACACUGAAGGAUACUGUCCAAACAUGAAAGCAUUUUCAUGUGACAUUUUUGAUUUCUCACUUCUAUUGUGGAUUUUCUCAGCAGUGUAAAAAGAAACAAAGUGACACCUUGUAAGAAAAAGAAAGAACCAGUAUGAGCACUGUGUGUUGUCUGCACUAGAAAUAAAAAUUUACUGUGAUACACUGCAUGAGUCAUUGUUGUCUUUCUCUACCGGGCUGUAGCUACCAUCGAGGAUCCUAAGGUCAUGUUCUUUAUAUUUUUCUUUUCUUUUCAAGGAAUUUGGCAGCAUGGGGGGGCGAGUAACAUUCUUCAAUUUUAAAUACAUAGUUGGUAUUUUAUAGGCUGAUCCAGUACUUUUAGCAUCACUACAUUUAAAUUGUGUUUUCAAAAUUGGACAAAAAAGAAGAUUUUGAAACUAAAAAGAAGGUCAGACUUGUAUUUCGCUUUGUGAUCAAUAAGUCUUAACCAAAAAAUACCAAGGCACACUGCUUUGAAAACAUUAAAAACCUCUGCCAGUCAAAAACGGAGCUGUGUGCCUUGGUAUCUUUUUAUGACUUAUUGAUCACAAAGCAAAAUAUAAGUCUGACGUCUCCUCUUUUUUGGUCUCAUGAUAUGUCCUUGGAUUGAAAGAACAUCUGUUUUUAUGAAGCAACACUCCUUGGCCAGUCUACUGGCAUUUAAUAAUAAUAAAU